AUAGUAUUUUAUGCAACAGUUGUAUAAGAAGGGUCAAAAAAUGCGAGUGGCGUGAGUUGCGAUGUGAGCCUUGGCGAACAUCGCAAUAAGAGACGCCACGAGCAUUUUUUGACCUAGUUAUACAACGUUGCAUACAAUACUUUUUCUACGACGACGUAAUUUUAAACGAAACACAAAAAAAUUCCAAUUUAUUUUCCAACGCGCGGGAAAAUGGCGGCAAAUGUAUACUUUUUUUUUAUAGUAUAUCUAUGGCACCAAACAAAGUAAAGGUGCCAGUUUCCAGGUCAAAAAAAAAAACAACAACAAUGCUUUUUUG